CGAAUGACAAUGAACAGACUAGUAAAGCAUCUUUAAUAGCUAAGCGAGUUCCGGUUGAUGGGAAGGAACCUAUUAAAAUACUUGAAUCACAUCUGUGAGUUGACCUUCUGAAACCAAAGUAGGAAGGUCCGGGGUCGCCCGUUACAGCACAGAGUUUAUUUAUUGAACUCACUGAGGCCAGCUUUUGCGAGAAAGUUGGUAAGAUGAGGUGGAACCGCGGAAACGCCCUCGUAGCCAUUAUGGCUCGGGGGUGUUUUUUGUUUAGCGGGGUUCAACAAAUGAACUUAGUGAGGUAGUUGCUGUGAGGCAACUACGAAAUGAGGUGGCACCACGAAUGAUUCGUCCUCUAG
rnacentral:ncRNA from 1 species